rnacentral:rRNA from 1 species
UACGUAGGGUGCAAGCGUUAAUCGGAAUUACUGGGCGUAAAGCGUGCGCAGGCGGUUUUGUAAGUCUGUCGUGAAAGCCCCGGGCUCAACCUGGGAAUUGCGAUGGAGACUGCAAGGCUUGAAUCUGGCAGAGGAGGGUAGAAUUCCACGUGUAGCAGUGAAAUGCGUAGAGAUGUGGAGGAACACCGAUGGCGAAGGCAGCCCCCUGGGUCAAGAUUGACGCUCAUGCACGAAAGCGUGGGGAGCAAACAGG